CCCCUUCCGCCAUGAUUAUAAGUUUCCCGAGGCCUUCCCAGCUUGCAGAACUGAAAAGAAGAGGCGGGCUCCUCUGAGACCCAAUUGGAUGCAUUUCCCAGCUUAGCCCAAGUGCACCCAAAGGUAGGACCGGGGACUCAGUCUACUCACGAGGAUGAAGCUCAGCUUGGAAACCCAGGUGCUCCACCUCCUCAGAACUCCCUCCAGUGAUGCGGGGACAAGGUGAUGCAGCCCCCUUCACGUUGUCUGAACUCCAGCAGGUGCAGAGUGAGCACUUUGGUUGGAAAUGCUUGACUGCGAGCUGUCUCCUGGGCUUCUCUCACAGGGGCCCCACAGCGCCCCAACCCUCCAGCAGGUGCCUGGACCCACUGCCAUGCUGUUUCACUUGCCAAAAUCAGGGGAACGCCUUUUCCUGGCUGGGCCUUUUCUUCUUUCCCAGUGAGCUGGGAGGUGAAAAUUUUAGGACUCUACGAACAGAGACCAGUCAAGGCGCCUUAUGGUUUUGUCCUUACUGCCCUUGAUUUUCAGUCCAAAGCCAUUUUCAAGGACAACCUGCCAUGGCCUCCACUGGCUCAGCGUUCUGCCUGAAGGAGAGCUGCCUUCAGCAGCAGAUCUCAAUUGCCCACUUUUUGGAGGUGGACCAAGGGGUCUUGCCUGCAACCAAAUGAUAAACUUAAAGUGGACCAGGUGUUUUCUUUACCUCAUUUAUAACCUGGGGUGUAAAUGAUUGGCAGUGGAAGGUCAAGCCGUACCUCCUGUGAUGAAUUGGGGCAGGUUAAAUGCACUGAUCUGUUUCUCUUCAUCUAUAGUAACAUCAUGCAGCCACCCAGCAACAUAUUUGAACAAGAGUUUUGCAAUCAUCACACGUAAAAUCUUUCGUUGGAAAAAGGCACUCAUAUACCUUGGUAGAAUAUAUUUGUUAAUUGCU